ACUUGAGAUGCUUUAGAUCAGUGUUAUGUUGGAAUAUUGCCAAUUAUGUGGCUGCCAUUGUCAAAGAAGAUGGCUGCAAUGGUGGGUUGUUGGUGGCAGCCAACAACCAUUGUCUAAUGUCAAAGUUUGGUAAGUUUGGCAGCCACCAUUAUUGACAAAAGAACAAGUGGAGCAGCACCAUAAAUGCCUAUAAAUAGAGGCAUACGGUUGAGAGCAAAAUGAGAGAGUGUGUAGAGCCAAAGAUGUGAGAAAUGUAGGAGAGAGUGGACUGCCAAGGCAGCCAGCAGUAGCUGCCAUUGCAGCACUGAAAAGAGAGAAAUAGAGUGAGGUUGAGAGUUGCCAAAGAGGGGAUGAUUCCUCCUCCUCUAUUGUUGUAAAUCUUGUUCUCUCCCUAUAUAAUCAAAUGGCUUCUCCCGUGGAUGUAGGCGGUUUGCCGAACCAUGUUAAAUAUUGUGUCAGUGUGCUUAGCCUCCAAUGGGCAAAUAUCAGAACAUCACCGGUCGGAAUUCCGUACAAUUGGUAUCAGAGCAUAUGGUUUGAAGUGGUGUUUGAUUUUUGCUCAAAAAUGAAAGUUGUCAAAAUUGUGUUUUGACCAUACCACCGUGUAGAGGAGGAAGAGACGAAGCCACUGGUGAAAACGGCGUCAAAAUCGGACGUCGGACAUGGCCGCACUCUCCAUCACUCUCCGGCAAGGCAUUUGCCCACGCGCGCAGACGCGCCCCACGCGUCUUCUUCACCCGGAUGGGUUGACCCGACCCGAAUACCAGCUGACCUGACCCAUGUGACUGACUCGGAUAAGGGUGACGUCAUCAUGAACAGUAGACAUGUCAGGGAUGACAUUGGCAUGAAGUAAUUGUGACAUCAUCAUGUACAGUAGCAUGACCCAUGAUGACAGCAGCAUGAUGUAAUGGAGAUGUCAGCAUGCACAGUCAGCAUACCAUGUCAGCGUCCAGUCGACAGACACGUCAGCACAAUGGGACCCACCUGCCACAUCAUCAGCCGCGAGCCGAGCCAAGUCGAGCCGAGCCGAGCCGCGAGUCGAGGGAUAAGAUUCUGUGCAGCAGAGUCUAUAUGCAACCGGAUCUGAGAUUGAAUCUGAGCCGUUAAUCAGGCCAGAAUUGUUUUGAUCAAAUCUUAGCCGUCUGAAAUGCGAUUUGGAUGAUUUCAGACUUGUUUCCAGCUAAUUUGAUCAUUCCGGAUGCAAUGGUACGGUCCGAUCAUUGAGAUUGAGACCGAAAAUGGUGGUGGUGAAUUAUUGAAAAAGAUUGCCCGAUGAAGAGGCAUCUGAAGGUCAUCAUGGUGGUCGAUGGAGAUGAAGAAGGAGAAAGUGCACAUGUUUGCCCAAUUAUAUGUGCUGAACUGCUAAGUGGGGAGAAAUUUUAAUUGCCUUGAAGGAAGGCAAAAUUGGGAUACUCUGGACACCCGAUCAUGUGGAUGAUUUGAGGUGGAGAGUGGAAAUUGAUGAAGACCAAUCUUGACGAAUCUAAGAACUGGUAGUCUCGCCAGAUGUUGAGAAAUCAGGUAUAAAACCGGGAUACCCCAAGAUCACUUGUAAAGGAAAGCCGCAACAAAGCUAGCAAAUGGUUGUAUAUACGAAAAGGCAGUACGGUGGAUAGAUACGUUCUAAGAAGUUCUGUCUAGGAGAUUGGGUUUUAAGCGGGACCAGUGUGACCCCUCCAAAUCUUUCCUGGGAACUUGCUUAGUUGAAGGAUCAUCCACACAGUACUAUUUUUGUAUAUGUAACAGUUUGUAAUGAAACUGUUGAAGACUAGCAAGAUGACGGCACAAAGGAACAGUUGGGUUCUGUAUGUUCAAGGAUCUGAUGGAGUGGUGAUUUCUCCAAAGAAGUUAGAUUCGGUGACUGUAAUUUCUCGAAGGGAUAAUUAAUGAAGACCCUGAUAAUGGAAGAGAAAUACAACAAGGGAUAAAGAUUGGCACCCUAUUUUGACUUGGAUAAAUGUUGUGACAGGAUGAGCUGCUGUCAAACAUAAAAGCAAAGAAUAGGGAGAAAUCUGGAGAACCGAAAUUGCACGAGAGCACACGGAGAUUGUGCAGGAGUACCCGAAGGAUCCAACGAGGUACUGUAAUGAGACAACAGAUGCAAGGAGAAGAAGAGUUCCCAGAUGAAGCUCAGAGCAGAGACUGUGUGAAAAGUUGUACAACAGGAAGUCUCUUGUGCUCUUGAUAAAGGCAACAAGCGAGGACCUUUCCAAUGCAUGCAAGGAUGGAAAGAUGAGCUGUUGCAGAAGCACCUAAUUAAGGGGGUGCGACCGCCGAUGAAAGGCGAAGACACCAAAGAGAGUUGGUGUGGGUGGAGCUAUCAAGCAGAAAGGCAUAGAAGCUCCAAACAUAGAAAAUGAGAUGGAGGAUUGCGAAGAGUGCACCGCAACUCUCUCUUUCUAUGUGAUCAGUGGUAGUGAUCUCUCCCAAGUCCACAUGGUGGUAGAGAAUCUUGGAGCCACUAGAGACAUCCCCGAUAAAGGAGGAUGUGACCGCUUCAUGACGGACGGAGACAUCUCAGGCAAGAAGGUGUGUGGGCCAUAAAACUAGCCCAAGUAGAAACCGCCGCAUGACAACGAGUGGAGACACCUCAGGAGAAGGUGUGCGGACCAUGAUAUGAGUCCAAGUUCAGACCGUCUCAUGACGACAGGCGGAGACACCUCAGAUGGAAGGUGUGAGGACCAUGAUAUGAGUCCAAGUUCAGACCGUCUCAUGACGACAGGCGGAGACACCUCGGAUGGAAGGUGUGAGGACCAUGGUAUGAGUCCAAGUUCAGACCGUCUCAUGACGACAGGCGGAGACACCUCAGGAGAAGGUGUGAGGGCCUUGAAAGGAGCCCAGUUCAGAACGCCCCAAAGCCGAUGUGAUGGCUGGAUAUAAGUGGACAAGUGUAUAGCCAAUGAAGAGGCUAUGAUGAGUAUGGAGACAAAUGCAAGAUUGAUUUUCAUGGAUAUUGCCCCCAUGCUAAAGAUCAAUGAGCUAGAAGACAUUUACCUUGGAAAAUAAGUGGAUGACUUGUGAAGCAUUAAGACGCGACUGCUAUGAAGAAGCAGAGGGCAUGCACAGGUUCCGAGAACAAGUUGACUCUUGUCAAGGUGGUGAGCUCGGUGAAGGCAUUGUAAUACUCAGAGUAUCAAGACAUAUAUGGAUCAACCUUUAAUGGGCUGCCCCCAUGGUUUAAGGUGGAGAGCUACCUGGACUCUUGAGACUAAGAGCGGGAGACUCACGGAGAAGUUAGGCGUGGUUUCUAGGGAGGAACAGAGGGCAGACGCAACUCCGGGAUGAGUAGACUCUUGGAAGAGUGGUGAGCUCGUGAUCACAUUAAAAUACUCAAUGACUGUCGCACUUGGAAAUAUCCGUUUGAGGGGGUGUUGUAAGCCUUGGUGUAAGGCUUGAUAAAUCAUUUCGGGCCAAGCAUGGUUGAUAUGCUUGAAGGGAAUGUUGUUCCAGAGACAAGCGUUAACAAUCUUCAGAUGAGAUGUGACAAACCAUCUGGUUGAAGUGAUCAUUUGGAGUGAGCAAAGGGGUGCUUGGAUGACUCUGGUGAUUGAAAGGUUUGGCAAGUACCUGGAAACUUGGCCAAAGACGCUCUCGGAAUGGUAAGCUUGGAAGAGCUGCAAGAUGCAAGCGUGUGCUGAAGAAGCAAGAGGACAAUUGCCCACAUAAAUGCCAAAGGGGGUGAUUGUUGGAAUAUUGCCAAUUAUGUGGCUGCCAUUGUCAAAGAAGAUGGCUGCAAUGGUGGGUUGUUGGUGGCAGCCAACAACCAUUGUCUAAUGUCAAAGUUUGGUAAGUUUGGCAGCCACCAUUAUUGACAAAAGAACAAGUGGAGCAGCACCAUAAAUGCCUAUAAAUAGAGGCAUACGGUUGAGAGCAAAAUGAGAGAGUGUGUAGAGCCAAAGAUGUGAGAAAUGUAGGAGAGAGUGGACUGCCAAGGCAGCCAGCAGUAGCUGCCAUUGCAGCACUGAAAAGAGAGAAAUAGAGUGAGGUUGAGAGUUGCCAAAGAGGGGAUGAUUCCUCCUCCUCUAUUGUUGUAAAUCUUGUUCUCUCCCUAUAUAAUCAAAUGGCUUCUCCCGUGGAUGUAGGCGGUUUGCCGAACCACGUUAAAUAUUGUGUCAGUGUGCUUAGCCUCCAAUGGGCAAAUAUCAGAACAUCACCGGUCGGAAUUCCGUACAUGUUAGCAGUUGGCACCUUCAUACAACUUGUUGGAAAAGACAUGUUGCUUAUCACAACAACGUAACUUGAGAGAGAUGUUUUUAGCACCCUUGCUAAUGACAAACCGCACUCAGUGAUCAACAUAAUCAGAGGAAUCAGAAUGGAGGCAGAAAGAGAGCUCGAAAGAAAUAAUCUGAGAACCCUGAUACGAGUUCAGCAGCUGAGUGACUGCUGAUAGGAACUUGUCCUUGUAAUCGGCAGAAGGAGGUCGUUGGUUAUCAUAAAAGUCAGAGUUUCCGAAUAUGUUAGCUGAAUCAGAUUUGAGAAUAGGCAACAAUUUCUAGGCCGAUUAACAAUAUGGUGGAUAAAACAAUGUUUGGACCGCCAACCUCAGUGGGAGGUUGGAGAUGAUAGAACAAGAAUGUUGUCAGGAUGUCCAUUCACGAGAUCACUAUUUGUCUUAGUCGAGCUGCUUCAUCUUCAUUGUUUGCUUAUUAUCCACAACAAUCGAUAUGAUGAUCGGAUCAGAUCAGAGAAAACCAAUCCUAAUUUCCUCCGGUGAAGGAAUUGUGUUAUGUCAGGUCUGAAGAUGUGAGUAUUAUGAGUUUAAGUUUUGAUUGAAGAUUUAUGUAUGUUUCCAAUUUUGCUC